GAACGGCAGCACAGCAGAGCUUGCUCUGUGGGUGGCGAGUGGCGGACGGGUGAGUAAUGCAUCGGGACCUACCUCAACGUGGGGGAUAACGUAGGGAAACUUACGCUAAUACCGCAUACGUCCUACGGGAGAAAGCAGGGGACCUUCGGGCCUUGCGCGGUGAGACGGACCGAUGUGCGAUUAGCUAGUUGGUAAGGUAAUGGCUUACCAAGGCGACGAUCGCUAGCUGGUCUGAGAGGAUGAUCAGCCACACUGGAACUGAGACACGGUCCAGACUCCUACGGGAGGCAGCAGUGGGGAAUAUUGGACAAUGGGCGCAAGCCUGAUCCAGCAAUGCCGCGUGUGUGAAGAAGGCCUUCGGGUUGUAAAGCACUUUUAUCAGGAACGAAAUACUACGGGUUAAUAACCUGUGGGGCUGA
rnacentral:rRNA from 1 species